rnacentral:misc_RNA from 1 species
GUUUUAAUAAAAUUUUUGAAAGGGGAAAAAUUUAGAUAUGAUUCAAAAAUUAAUUAUAAAAAAGUUUUAUUUCAUGUUAUUUUUCUAUCCAUUCACACUGCCGCUGAAGGAUUAACUGAUUAAUAAGGAAUGGAUAAAUAGAACGGAAAUAUUGAAAUUCCCUCGUUGCCCUCCAUAAAGCCAACUAAAGCAGCCAAAUUAGAUGGCCAAAAAGGUCAUCAGCAUACAGUUGUUUGAUUUAUGGGGCCAAUAUCCUUUUUCGGUUUAAGAACGUUGGGACUUGGGGCAGAGGCUACAAUCACACUGAGCAGUAACAAA